rnacentral:rRNA from 1 species
ACCCCCGGCUUGGAACUUUAAGCAUAUCAAUAAGCGGAGGAAAAGAAACUAACAAGGAUUCCCCUAGUAACUGCGAGUGAAGCGGGAAAAGCUCAAAUUUAAAAUCUGGCGGUCCUCUGGGCCGUCCGAGUUGUAAUCUGGAGAAGCGUUUUCCGCGUCGGACCGUGUACAAGUCUUCUGGAACGGAGCGUCAUAGAGGGUGAGAAUCCCGUCUCUGACACGGACCGCCGAUGCUUUAUGUGAUACGCUCUCGAAGAGUCGAGUUGUUUGGGAAUGCAGCUCAAAAUGGGUGGUAAAUUCCAUCUAAAGCUAAAUAUUGGCGAGAGACCGAUAGCGAACAAGUACCGUGAGGGAAAGAUGAAAAGCACUUUGGAAAGAGAGUUAAACAGUACGUGAAAUUGUUGAAAGGGAAACGUUUGAAGUCAGUCGCGUCGGCCGAGACUCAACCUUGCCAUCUCGGCUCGGUGCAUUUCUCGGUUGACGGGUCAGCAUCAAUUUCGGGCGUCGGAUAAAGGCUGAGGGAACGUGGCAUCCUUCGGGGUGUGUUAUAGCCCUCGGUUCGCAUACGACGAUCGGGAUUGAGGAACUCAGCACGCCUUCAUUGGUCGGGGCUUCGGCUCACGUUAACGUGCUUAGGAUGCUGGCAUAAUGGCUUUAAGCGACCCGUCUUGAAACACGG